rnacentral:rRNA from 1 species
UACGGAGGGGGCUAGCGUUGUUCGGAAUUACUGGGCGUAAAGCGCGCGUAGGCGGAUCUGCAAGUCGGGGGUGAAAUCCCGAGGCUCAACCUCGGAACUGCCUUCGAUACUGCGGGUCUCGAGUCCGGGAGAGGUGAGUGGAAUUCCUAGUGUAGAGGUGAAAUUCGUAGAUAUUAGGAAGAACACCAGUGGCGAAGGCGGCUCACUGGUCCGGUACUGACGCUGAGGUGCGAAAGCGUGGGGAGCAAACAGG